rnacentral:lncRNA from 1 species
CAUUUAUUUUAAUUUCUAAAAAUCAAAUAAUCACAAUUGUAAAGGUAUUAAUUUUUUCCCUUUCAGAAUAAACCAUGUCUACUUCAGGAGCUUAUGUCUUCACUGUCAGAAAAAAGAAGGCUCUACUGCUGGCACUCUUUUGGAAGACUCUAGAGGUUCCUGUGGUCCUCUCAUUAGCCAUACUGCAGCCAGGGAAAUGACAGCCACAGAAGUACUGAAGAUUGAAUAGGAUCUGAGAAACUCCACAACUGAAUUGUCUGGUGAAUCCCACAACAAUGGUAAUAGAAUUUUCAAAAAGUGAGUAAAUUUUUCUCCAUUUCUUUCACUAGUUAGAUAUAGUACAUAUUACACAUAUGUAUAUUUACAUUUCACACAUGGCUUGUGUUUUAGUACACGUGAGUAUAUUCAGGAGAACCUUUGAAAGAAUGCAUUCAAACUCUAAGGGGAGGAAAUAUCUCUGAUGGAGGAAAAAUGGAAUUACUCAAGUUCUUGUUGAGGAAGGAUAAAGGGAUAUCAAGAUGGUGGACUCAUUGAGGAUUUGGGGGAGGGGUAAAGUUGCUAUAAAAGGAAACUACCAUUUGCAUUUGGAAGUACAGGAC